GGAAAUAUGGUGUAAUGGUAGCACGCUGGGAGUUGAAAUCCAGAAGUUUUGGUUCGAAUCCAUCUUAUAAAUUCUCA
rnacentral:tRNA from 1 species